GGAUUCGGAAGGGAUAACGUCGUGCAAAAUUAACGUCGUGCUUGUUUUAAGAAGAAACGUAUUUUUUCCAAUCAGAGAGCAACUACGGCCCAACGCUCGACGAAUCAGUACGUUCGGCUUCAGUCUGCUGUUGGACCUCGUGGGGAUAGGACGGAUGGAGAUACAACUGGUUAAAAUUUUUGAUUGCUGAGGUAAUUUUCAAGAUAUUGAUAUCGCAAUGGUGACAGAUGGUGACUUCAUGGCAAAGCGGUAACGUUUAAUCUUUUGUAUCGAAAAUAAAUACAUUUUUAAGUAUUUAUUUUUUAUUCUAUUAUUAUUUUAUUAUGUUAAAUAAUUCAUAAUUCUACAUAAUUUUAUUUCGGAUUUGUUAAGUUAUUUUUUUAAUUUCAAAUUGAUUGAAUUUAUUUUUCUCUUGCAUUUAAUUUGUAGUUUCAAGAGAUAAUAAUUUUUAUGAACAAAUGCUCGAUACCCUACCCUUCCCCACUAAUACAGAUUUAUUUUCAGAAAAAUUUUGUGAUCGCGCGCAAUGCGAUCGGUAGAGUCAGUGUUGUUUCGUAAUACAGUAUUUUUAAGAUUAUUUUUUAGAGCACAGCUGCUCUUAUUCAAUUUAAUUAUAAUAAUCAUUCGCGAAAUUAGAGUCAGUGUUUAUUCGCCGAAUAUUAAAUACGGACGCGUUAAUAGUUUAUUUUGUUUCAUUUUUUUUCUUACAAAUUUUCGUUUUCGGUACAGAGUAAAAUCAGUGCUCUCAAGAACAUAAGGCGAUCAUCCAUCACGCGAAGAGGUAAUUAUCUUUGCAUAUUUUUCACGAAUAUAGUUUCAUUUUUCUUUCAGUUUUCUUUAUUAAUUAAUAUAUAUACUAUGUUCUAAAUUACGGUAUUCCAUUUUUUCUCCUUUUUUUCAGUUUUCACAGUUUUCAUCCUUCUACUUGAUGACAACUUCGCGAUGGGUCAUGACAGCAUUGGUGGCAACGCAGAUUCUUCGCAUCUAUGGUGAGUCGCAUGCAUUUUGGUUCCUCUGGUCACUCAAUCAUGUCGUAGGAUGAAAGAUCCGAAUCGACACGGGUGAUUGGUUGUAUACGUAGAAUUUUGUACGAGCACAAUGACCAUGGGUAUUUAUUAUAUCCGUGAAUAGUGACAUUUCAUAUGUUUGUGUUUUAUUUAUUAGA